UAGGGCUGCUGUGAAAGAUGACCACAA
rnacentral:piRNA from 1 species